rnacentral:rRNA from 1 species
AUUGAACGCUGGCGGCGUGCUUAACACAUGCAAGUCGAACGGUAACAGGUGUAGCAAUACAUGCUGACGAGAGGCGGAGGGGGGAGAAACGCUUGGGAAUCUGCCUAUCAGCGGGAGACAACCCGGGGAACCCCUGGCUAAUACCGCAUACGCUCUACGGGCGAAAGCCGGGGACCGCAAGGCCUGGCGCUGAUGGAUGGGCCCAAGUCGGAUUAGCUAGUUGGCGGGGUAACGGCCCACCAAGGCGACGAUCCGUAGCUGGUCUGAGAGGACGAUCAGCCACACUGGAACUGAGACACGGUCCAGACUCCUACGGGAGGCAGCAGUGGGGAAUAUUGGACAAUGGGGGAAACCCUGAUCCAGCGACGCCGCGUGGGUGAAGAAGGCCUGCGGGUUGUAAAGCCCUUUCGGUAGGGACGAAAGCUCUCGACCUAACACGUCGGGAGGUUGACUUAACCUACAGAAGAAGCACCGGCUAACUCUGUGCCAGCAGCCGCUGUAAUAC